UCAAGGUGCCAGCAAGAUUGGUUUCUUCUGAGACUUCUCUGUGUAGCAUAGAGAGAGCCUCCAUUCUGUGUCUUCGUGUGGUCUUCCUUCUGUGCUUGUCUGUAACCAAUCUCCUCUUCCUAUAAUGACAUCAGUCAGGGGAAAGAAGGAGCAUAAGGACAGAAGGCAAUGACAAUCAUGACAGAGCAAGCUGUAGAAUUAUAAUCACGGCUGGGGUGACCUUGAUAGCUACAAGUGGAGAUGGAUCUUUGAGCUAUCAGAUGGAAGGCUGUCUCUGCAGACCCACACUGGAUUCUACAUAAAUAAGAAGUAUAAGUGUAACUUCGUUGUGCUAAGUCACUGAGCUUUUCGGAUUUGUUUGUUAUUGCAGCAUAGCUUAACAUUGCUCUGACUAAUGCC